rnacentral:sRNA from 1 species
GUCACCGACCCUACCGAUUGCCCGCUCCCCGGCCACGGUAGCAACCCGAUCGUCGAAGGUUCCGGCGACGU